GUGCAUGUAACACAAGUCUUCGCAGCAAGGCGGCGUGCAAGAGUUCGUCUCGUCGGAGGAUCUUCGCGCUGUCCUUCCGGAGUAAAAGAACUGAAGGCGCUUGGGUGGCAAUUAAGCACGAACGCGCUCGGUUCCCGACCGGCCGAGCGUGCGCCUCUCACCCAGGGAAAUCUCGCCCGGCGUCAGCGCUGCCCGGCCCGGCAAUCGGAGCUUCCGCGGCGCCGAUGCGGGGCGGCUCUUCCAGGGCGAGAGGAAGCCCGCGUGGGCUUGACCGGCAGGCACGUUUCUCGGGAGGAUGAGGACGAAAGGCCGCCGGCCCCAGCCCGACGUUUUGCCGGUCAGGGUAACGGGUUACACUUCGAGCAGUUCGGAGGUUUCCAAUCGGUGGAAGCGCUGAGAAAGGGGUGCUCGGAAUGAAGAGCAAUCUUGCCCUCACGUGCACUGUGAGUGGUCUUCGUCCAAGCCAGGCUGUGUCCACAAGCUUCCAGCUGACAUUUGGAAGAAAGAUACGCUUCUUCUGAGCUGAUUUUGGAGAGUUCUACAAAUACGCCUCAUGGCCCCGUUCUCGGACCUCUGACCCCACUCCCACGUGAGGGCCAGGACAGAUCAGCGCAGCCCUGUGUGUGGUUCAUGUCUUCCAAGGUUCACAUCAGCUCCUCCAAGAGCUUCAUGCCUCCGUGACGACGAAUGUCACUUGGACAUAAAGGGGGUGAGUGUAUGAUGCUUGGCCGCCAUUCCCGUAUUCCCGAAACGUGCUGUUUCACGGACUGUCUGGUGCGUUUCGACAAGAAUGAUCUGGGAGAGGACUAUGCACCUGAUGUUCCUG